UACGAAGGGUGCAAGCGUUACUCGGAAUUACUGGGCGUAAAGCGUGCGUAGGUGGUUUGUUAAGUCUGAUGUGAAAGCCCUGGGCUCAACCUGGGAAUUGCAUUGGAUACUGGCAGGCUAGAGUGCGGUAGAGGGUAGUGGAAUUCCCGGUGUAGCAGUGAAAUGCGUAGAGAUCGGGAGGAACACCAGCAGCGAAGGCGGCGACCUGGAUAGGCACUGACACUCAACGGCGAAAGCGUGGGGAGCAAACAGG
rnacentral:rRNA from 1 species